rnacentral:rRNA from 1 species
GAUUAAGCCAUGCAUGUGUAAGUAUAAAUAGUUAACUUUGAAACUGCGAAUGGCUCAUUAUAUCAGUUAUAGUUUAUUUGAUGAAGAAUACUAAUUGGAUAACCGUAGUAAUUCUAGAGCUAAUACAUGUAUAAAGUCUUGUAGACUGCAUUUAUUAGAAUGAAAACCAUAGGUUUCGGCCUAUUCGUGAGUAAUAAUAACUAAUCAUAUCGUAUGCUUAUGUAACGAUGUGUCUUUCAAGUUUCUGCCCUAUCAGCUUCGAU